AGAGUUUGAUCCUGGCUCAGAACGAACGCUGGCGGCAGGCUUAACACAUGCAAGUCGAACGCACCUUUCGGGGUGAGUGGCAGACGGGUGAGUAACGCGUGGGAAUCUACCCAGUUCUACGGAAUAACGCAGGGAAACUUGCGCUAAUACCGUAUGAGCCCUACGGGGGAAAGAUUUAUCGGGAUUGGAUGAGCCCGCGUGAGAUUAGCUAGUUGGUGGGGUAACGGCCUACCAAGGCGACGAUCUCUAGCUGGUCUGAGAGGAUGAUCAGCCACACUGGGACUGAGACACGGCCCAGACUCCUACGGGAGGCAGCAGUGGGGAAUAUUGGACAAUGGGCGCAAGCCUGAUCCAGCCAUGCCGCGUGAGUGAUGAAGGCCUUAGGGUUGUAAAGCUCUUUCAGUGGGGAAGAUAAUGACGGUACCCACACAAGAAGCCCCGGCUAACUUCGUGCCAGCAGCCGCGGUAAUUC
rnacentral:rRNA from 1 species